rnacentral:rRNA from 1 species
CCUACGGGCGGCAGCAGUGGGGAAUAUUGGGCAAUGGGCGCAAGCCUGACCCAGCAACGCCGCGUGAAGGAAGAAGGCUUUCGGGUUGUAAACUUCUUUUAUUGAGGACGAAACACAUGACGGUACUCAAUGACUAAGCCACGGCUAACUACGUGCCAGCAGCCGCGUGAAUACGUAGGUGGCAAGCGUUAUCCGGAUUUACUGGGGGUAAAGGGCGUGUAGGCGGGACUGCAAGUCAGAUGUGAAACCCAUGGGCUCAACCCAUGGCCUGCAUUUGAAACUGUAGUUCUUGAGUGAUGGAGAGGCAGGCGGAAUUCCGUGUGUAGCGGUGAAAUGCGUAGAUAUACGGAGGAACACCAGUGGCGAAGGCGGCCUGCUGGACAUUAACUGACGCUGAGGCGCGAAAGCGUGGGGAGCAAACAGGAUUAGAUACCCGAGUAGUC